rnacentral:lncRNA from 1 species
CUCUUUAGUUUUUCAGUUCUUGUGGAAGAUUUUCAUAUAAGUCUCUCUUUUACAGAGUAUCUUGAAAAGAGCAAUGACUACCGAGCUUACUUAAUACAAGGAUGUCAUGAAGUCAAAGGGCUGAAAAGGGCCAUGUUCCCAAAGCUGUGCAAGAUAUACCAGUCUGCGUUGCCAUAAGAAACAGAAGUCAUACAAGGAUCUCUUUUCUGGCCUCUGGGUUUCACUUCCAUUUCUACUGGAGCCCCCUUUUGCAAGUUGAAAAGGUUCAACGAAAAUGAGCCUACAUUUCUGCCAAGUCUACAGGCCAAGAACUCUACUCCAGCAAGUUGGAGUCAGCUCCAAGACAGAAGCCAGUCUGAGCAUCAGUGUGGACUGGAAUAGAUUCAUCUGGAACUUUCGGUUCGUCCAAAGUUCAUGUGAAAAAAAUGCCUGCCUACACCCAAGGUCAUCUCAUCAACCAGGCACCA